AACAACCAGGACAAGGAGACAUGCAAGCAAGAGGGAGGAACGUAAUUUCUUAGUCUGCUGAAGCAAAAGCUGACUCACUGAACUCUGCAUUCCAUCAUCAUUUCAUUUGCGUGGAUGGUGAGGCUGUUGUUGAGUGGUACAUUGGUGCUGCUGUAGCACUCUGGUUGGAAUAAGCUGACCUGAAAGGUGAUGUUGUACAUUCCAGAUCUUUAAUGUGUGUCUUCACCAGGAUUCUCAACUGCCAGCUAAACAGAGGAAUU